UCCGCAUUUAUAGCUGCUUAUUUUCGAAUCUAACAAAUCCAUGUAGCUAUUUAAUUAGAACUAACUAAACAGGAUAGUCUUCCUCUUCUAUCUAACGCAUAAUGUUUAAUACCUUCUUCUCUCUCUACCUUAUGCUUCCAUAUUGUAAUAGAAAUACAGUCAUAAUGUUCUUUGUGAAGAAAUCUCUCUGGUGAAGCUCGUUGGGCUUUCGACAACAAAUUUCUUGGGCAUUGAUAUCUUUUACGUAAGUUGAAGCUCUACUGGUCUUUCGACAACAAAUUCUUGGAUGUAAAGGCGAUGAAACCGAAGAAGGCUAUCAAAGCAGUAAUGAAGACGUAACAUAGAAGCUAAGAUAUUGUCAAUGUUAACUUUACUGAUGUUUGUGUUUCACCUUUUUUUGAAUGGUAAAAAAGUACUUGUAUAUUUUUUUAGAGAAAAGACAUAAAGUGAUAAAAAGACACCUUAACUAUGCAGGUAUUCUAUUACCACCCUAAACAAUUUCGAACAUAUAUUAUUACAUCAUUUUUCGAUCAAUUUCAGACAUUAAAUGACAAGUCUUAUCACACACCAAA